rnacentral:piRNA from 1 species
CACUUUCACAUCACUUACGUUACCAGAAG